rnacentral:rRNA from 1 species
GACGAACGCUGGCGGCGUGCUUAACACAUGCAAGUCGAACGGAAAGGCCCUGCUUUUGGGGGCUGCUCGAGUGGCGAACGGGUGAGUAACACGUGAGUAACCUGCCCUUGACUUUGGGAUAACUUCAGGAAACUGGGGCUAAUACCGGAAAGGAGCUCCUGCUGCAGGGUGGGGGUUGGUAAGUUUCGGCGGUUGGGGAUGGACUCGCGGCGUAUCAGCUUGUUGGUGGGGUAGUGGAUUACCAAGGCUUUGACGGGUGGCCGGGCUGGGCGGGUGAGCGGCUAAGCUAGGAUGGGGAUACGGCACAGCCCAGUACGGUAGGCAAGGGUGGAGAAUGGUAUACUGGGGGAGGAACGAUAAUGCAGUCAAGCAACGUGGGGUAUGAGGGCCAUGGGGUUGUAUUCUGCUGCCGCUUGUGACGAAGCGUUAGUGACGGUAAUGGGUAAAGAAGCACCGGCUAACUACGUG